rnacentral:lncRNA from 1 species
GUCACUCUGAGUCGCCGCAUGCCGGGCUCCUUCUCUCGCUGCUGGUUCGGGUGUUGGGGCCUGGUCCCGCUUGCAAAAGCUCCCACGGACCAGAGAAAAGAGGAGGAUGUCAGACGUAGAAACAAAUGGCGUGUCAAGUUUCGCAGGAAGAGAGGGAAGAGUGAAGCUCCGGGAGCCAGCCACGAUUAGUCGCGCCUUCUGUGACGUCCAAUGGCAGAGGUCAAAGGGAUUCCUGGGGCAACCUCGAGGGAAAGAAUUCUGGCUCCGAGGGCCGGUGUACAGUGCUUUAAAUAUGGCAGUGGUUAUGUGUGAAAUUAUCGUGUUUUUCUGUUUAACCUGUUUCUUGUCUCUUCAUCGCCUUUCUAUAUAAUGUAAGACCAGAGGCUUUAUGUAGUGAAUUCCCUGUAACCCCGGCUGCUUGGACAGAUAGGUAUUCAAGUAUUUGUUUCUUGAAGUAAUCCUCUGAAUUAACUUGCUCACAUGUAAAAAAUAAUAACGGGCUGGGAAACGCCAGUAAUAGCCGCCAAACGUUUGUUAGACAUUUACAGUGUGCCAGGGACUGCAUUUUACGUGUAUUAUCACAUUCCUCAGAACAGCCUAAUGAGGUAUAUAUUACUAGAAUGCCUAUUUUUCAGAUGAGGAAACUGAUGCAUAGAAAGGAUAAUUUACUCAAGAGCGAGGAAGUAGCAAGCAUAAAAUCCAAGUACAUUUUUUUCUGCAUGUAUUAAUAGGUACAAUGAAGUAACUUUUUAAAUUGCUGUAGGUAUCAAUCAUAGUCUUAAUUCCCAGUAAUUCACUUACUAAGAAAUAUUUUCUGCUUCUCUUUCAUCAUUCAUGGGAGAGAUACAUAUCCCUAAAUAUUUUGCACAUUUAAAACUUAAACUUGGGUAUGGUGGCUUAUGCCUGUAAUCACGGCGUUUUGGGAGGCUCAGGUGGGAGGAUUGCUUGAGUCCAGGAGUUCCAGGCCAGCCUGGGCCACAUAGUAAGACCCCGUAUCUACAAAAAAUAAAAAAAAAAUUAACCGGGCAUGGUAGUGUCUCUGUAGUACUAGCUACUCGGGAGGCUGAGGUGGUAGGAUCACUGGCGCCCAGCAAUUCCAGCCUGCAGUUAGGAUUACCACACUGCACUUCAGCCUGAGCGGCAGAAUGGGACCAUGUCUGAAAAAAUAAAUAAAAAAUAAAACUUGCAGCUGUAGCUUCCUCCCUUCUGAGAUGGAAAUUAUAAGCCAUCUCACAGUGUUGUGAGGAUUGGAGCUCAAGUGUGUAAAAUGCCUCCUCUGUGGGCUCUCCUUGGAGAGUUCUUGUAUCCUAUUGAUUGUCAUCAAAGGAAAAAAGUGGCAGGAUGAUGGCAUAAGUGGGAAGAACCUUGAGUUUAAUAGUCUGAAAAAGUGGUUACAGGUUCUUGCUAUGCUUUUCCUCUCUGUGGUUUUCUGAACCCAUCGCCUAACCUGAAGCCUUAAACUUCAUCUGCAAAAAUGUUUUGUGGCAGGUGACUCUGAAGCAGAACUCUUGAGAUGGAAGGAUUGUCAUCUGAGGAAAAAAAAUCAAGAUUAAGAGAGGAGGAACUAGAAUGAGAUUCACAUACCGUCUCUCCUCCAAGGGAAGGAGAGAGUGGUGAUGCCUGCCCACUCCUUCCUGGGCAGAACAUUUGUAGCAUGGAACAUUGGAGAAUUUGCAGUCUGCUGACUUUCUGAUUUAGGAGGUUGAUGGGGAGGCCUUAUAAUUUGCAUUUCUAACAAGUUCUGAGGUGAUGCUUCAAGUAUGUCCAGGCAGAAGGGCUGCCUCACAGAGAAUUCUGCCAUACCACAUGGGAAUUGAAGUCACAGACAUCUCUAACCCUCAAGCCUGAAACCAAAAGACUGAAAACCAACACUACAGUGGACAAAGAACAUCUCUGAACUUGUGUGGGGACCAGUGACACAAGGACCUAAGGUCUCUCUCUUCUCAUCUUGGCACUUCAGAAGUCUCCCCAAUCUUGACAAAGCCCUGGAGAAAGGGCCGGGCCUCCCGUUGAUAAGAAUAUCACUGCAGAUAAAUGGAGGUUUCAAAUUGAAAGAAAGGAGGAGGGCCUCCUGUUGAUAAGAUUAUUGUCACUGCAGGUAAAUGGAGGCUUCAAAUAGAAAUACAUUUCAGUUACAGAAAAAAAAAUUAUCUUUGUUACACAUUUGAGUUUGCAGGCCUAAGGUUACUCCCGCUACACUAUCAUCUGUAACCAUAACGCACUCAACAUUUUAAGCUAACUAUAAGGAUUGUUGCUUCACUCAAAGAUCCUGAGGUUUUAUUCACUAACAUUUUUAUUUGGUGACUAUAGUUGACAAGAACAAAGCUGUGGGGAACCAACAAACACUGCAAUGCCUGGCAUUGUCACCUCACUAGAUUGUGAGUUCCUCUGGGACAGGGUCCGUACAUUUUCUUAGAAUCCCUCACUUAGCCAUUAGCCUGCACAGUGCUUGUACUUAGUAAGUGCUCAGUAAAUGUUUGUGGAAUGAAUGCAUGAUGAACAAAAUAUAUACUGAGGACUCUUGGUGUUGAUUCUUGUUGAUAAUGUAAUAGUUAAGAUAUGUUAUAAAUAUGUUAUAAAUAUUGUAUCAAAAUAUUGUAUCAAAAAUAUACUUGAACAGGCUGGGCGUGGUGGCUCACACUUGUAAUCCCAGCCCUUUAGGAGGCUGAGGUGGGUGGAUCACUUGAGGUCAGGAGUUCGAGACCAGACUGGCCAACAUGGUAAAACCCCAUCUCCACUAAAAAAAAACAAAAGUUAACUGGGCAUGGUUGUGGGUGACUGUAAUCCCAGCUACUCAGGAGGCUGAG